rnacentral:lncRNA from 1 species
UAUUUUGUUUUAGUUUUUUCUGUUUUUUUUUUCCCCCUAGCACUGGAGAUUGGGUCUCUGGUCAUGUAUAUGCUGGGCAGAUGCUCUACUAAUGGGCUAUAUCCCCAAUCUUAAAGUAGACUUCAUUAUUUCCAGUGUAUAGAUUAGUAAGCAAAGGUUGAUUGAGACAAAGGUGGCUUGAGGAUACAUGUUGCAGUUAUCAAUUAAUCCUGCUCAAAUCGCCCCAGUGGUGGUGGCACGAGUUCCUCACCACCUAUCCCAAUGUUCUGGGUUCCUGAAUGAAAGACACACACACACACACACACACACACACACACACACACACACAGCCUUAUAUUUUAAAAUAUCUUAAACAGCUCAAUGACUGGGUUACUCCCAAACCUCCACAUGGCUAACACCUCCCCUCCAAUAUUCCUGACUUAUUGCUUACUAAAAUCUAUAUUCUAUUGUUGUUGCCCUAGAUGCAAUUGGGGGUAGGGAGGGCUGGGGCUGCUCUUCCCCAGCUAUUAUAUGUUGGCUGUCUCUCUAUCCUUUACUUCUCAGCCAUGGCAGCUACUUCUUUCUUAGCAAAGCAGCUAACUCCCUUCCUCUCCUUUCUCUGCCUGGGACUCCUAAAAGUGCUACCUCUGUCUCUCUGCCCAGCCAUUGGCCACUGGCAACUUUAUUUACCAAUCAAAACCAACUGGGGGCAGGGACCCUCAGUGUCUUAUGUGCUGAAAUUGUGGAUUUUCAUGUAAUAUUGGGGGCCCAAUUAGCAUAAUAUAAAAGUAUUAGACCAAAUCUACAAUAUUUACCUCUUCUCAUCCAUUAAAAAGGCCUUUUUCUCUCAGAUAUACAUUGAACAUAAUUAUAACACUUAUGCAAUCUAUAAGGUAUGAUAUAUACUAACAGUGUCCAGUUCAUCCAUUUUGUUAGUUUAGGUACAUUACUAUAACAUCUAUCUUAACUUAAAGAGUUUACAAUUUUAUAGCUGAAUUAUGUUUUGAUUUUAACUUGUAUUACCAUCUGAAAACCAUCCUUUAAAAUCUAGAUCUUCUUCCUUAAUGUUAAAUAAUUUAAGAUUGAUUAUGAGACAAUAACUGGUCUUCCACCCCAUCAGAGAUCCAAGAAUGGAUUAAAUAUUACCUAAAUGUAUAGGAAGCACAAAACAUAGCUUCUAAAACUUAAACAAUUAUAGAGACAGCUGACUACUUGGACAGUCCCCUAUUCCUCAAAACGUUGGAACAUGUCUCUUUAGCCUUCUGACCCAGAACCAUCUGAGAGACAUUGAAUAAAGCAGGAAUUAUGAAGGACUAGCUUACCUCGACUUGGCAGAGCUAAGCUGUCGACUAUCUCAUAUCAUGUGCCCUUUUUGAACAGUACUUUUGUUUGUUUGUUUGUUUGUAGAUGAAUUAGGGAAAUUCUUGUCCUCCAACCUUGCCACAAUUGGAGGAACUCUAUACAGAGGUUAUGAUGCUCAAUAUCUUCUUUGAACUGGGAAGGAGGUAGUCAGGAGUACACAUAUCUUCUAGU